UCAUCGAUUUAUUUAGUUUUUGAAGUUAACAAAUGUAAUUAUUAUCUAUUUUAUUUUUAAUACGCAUAAAUUAUAAAAUUGAUUAAUAAUAAGUGACGGAAAUUGAAAAGCAAUUAGCUUUUAUAAAUUCGAAAAUACCGAAAUUGACAAUAAAUAGGUUCAUUGAAUUAGGCUUAAUUAGUGAGAAAUAGGUAUAGAAGGUGGGAUACUCACCUCGAUCAGAGUUACGACGAUGACAAAUAGGGGAGGAGGAAAACAUGUGUAACGGUCGGCGUAAUAUUCUCGAUUUCGUUCGUCACUGAGGUUGUGACUCGCGUCUACAAGAUUGCCUUUAUCCGACAAUCAGACUUUUCCUUUUGGAUAUAUCAGCCGAUACUCAAUUAUUCAAUAACAUCAUCAUUCUGAUUUUUUAUCUUGUUAAAUACAGCAUGAUUUCUAUGAGAACAAAGCAAAACUAUAUCUAUUGUCGAUAAGCAAAGAGGAACAGAUGGGCCAGCCGUUCUGGACCCAAAGCAGAUGGAAUGAAGAUGAAGUCACAAAGAUUGGAAUAGAGUUGGGUACAGACGUUCUUCGACAGGAAGUAUGACUAUAACGUAUUCCUAGAAAACGAGACAAAAAUAGACAAUGUCCGAAAUGUUGUUCAAUGCUAGUCUGUUACAGACGUUUAGGAGAAUAUCAAA